rnacentral:rRNA from 1 species
CAGCCGCCGCGGUAACACAGAGGGUGCGAGCGUUAAUCGGAUUUACUGGGCGUAAAGCGUGCGUAGGCGGCUUUUUAAGUCGGAUGUGAAAUCCCUGAGCUUAACUUAGGAAUUGCAUUCGAUACUGGGAAGCUAGAGUAUGGGAGAGGAUGGUAGAAUUCCAGGUGUAGCGGUGAAAUGCGUAGAGAUCUGGAGGAAUACCGAUGGCGAAGGCAGCCAUCUGGCCUAAUACUGACGCUGAGGUACGAAAGCAUGGGGAGCAAACAGGAUUAGAUACCCCCGUAGUCCCUGUCUCUUAUAC